GAUGAACGCUAGCGGCAGGCCUAAUACAUGCAAGUCGAACGGGAUCCAGAUCAAAGCUUGCUUUGGUCUGGUGAGAGUGGCGCACGGGUGCGUAACGCGUGAGCAACCUACCCUUGUCAGGGGGAUAGCCCGGCGAAAGUCGGAUUAAUACCGCAUGACAUCAUUGAGAGGCAUCUUUCGAUGAUCAAAGAUUUAUCGGACAAGGAUGGGCUCGCGUGACAUUAGCUAGUUGGUAAGGUAACGGCUUACCAAGGCUGCGAUGUCUAGGGGCUCUGAGAGGAGAAGCCCCCACACGGGUACUGAGACACGGACCAGACUCCUACGGGAGGCAGCAGUAAGGAAUAUUGGUCAAUGGACGGAAGUCUGAACCAGCCAUGCCGCGUGCAGGAAGACGGCCCUAUGGGUUGUAAACUGCUUUUAUACGGGAACAAACGUCGGUACGUGUACCGGUCUGAGUGUACCGUAAGAAUAAGAAUCGGCUAACUCCGUG
rnacentral:rRNA from 1 species